UACGGAGGGUGCGAGCGUUGUUCGGAAUCACUGGGCGUAAAGGGCGUGUAGGCGGUCCGCUAAGUCUGAUGUGAAAGCCCGGGGCUCACCCCCGGAAGUGCAUUGGAAACUGACGGACUCGAGUCCCGGAGAGGAGGGUGGAAUUCCUGGUGUAGCGGUGAAAUGCGCAGAUAUCAGGAGGAACACCGAUGGCGAAGGCAGGUCUCUGGGCAUUAACUGACGCUGAGGUGCGAAAGCGUGGGGAGCAAACAGG
rnacentral:rRNA from 1 species